rnacentral:rRNA from 1 species
UCGAGGAUCUUCGGCAAUGGACGAAAGUCUGACCGAGCAACGCCGCGUGUGCGAUGAAGGCCUUCGGGUUGUAAAGCACUGUCGAGGGGAAACAAGCCGUAAGGUUGAGUGACCCCUGGAGGAAGCACGGGCUAAGUUCGUGCCAGCAGCCGCGGUAAGACGAACCGUGCAAACGUUAUUCGGAAUCACUGGGCUUAAAGGGCGCGUAGGCGGGUAAUCAAGUCAAUGGUGAAAUCCUCCAGCUUAACUGGAGAAGUGCCUUUGAUACUGGUUGUCUAGAGGGAGGUAGGGGCAUGUGGAACUUCAGGUGGAGCGGUGAAAUGCGUAGAUAUCUGAAGGAACGCCAGUGGCGAAAGCGAUGUGCUGGACCUCUUCUGACGCUGAGGCGCGAAAGCUAGGGGAUCAAACGGG